rnacentral:rRNA from 1 species
AUUGAACGCUGGCGGCAGGCCUAACACAUGCAAGUCGAACGAGUGGCGGACGGGUGAGUAAUGUAUGGGAAACUGCCCGAUGGAGGGGGAUAACUACUGGAAACGGUAGCUAAUACCGCAUACCAUCGGAGGUGCCCAGAUGGGAUUAGCUAGUAGGUGGGGUAACGGCUCACCUAGGCGACUAUCCCUAGCUGGGAUGGGAGGAGGCCCAGCCACACUGGAACUGAGACACGGCCCAGACUCCUACGGGAGGCAGCAGUGGGGAAUAUUGCACAAUGGGCGCAAGCCGGAUGCAGCCAUGCCGCGUGUAUGAAGAAGGCCUUCGGGUUGUAAAGUACUUUCAGCGGGGAGGCGUUACCCGCAGAAGAAGCACCGGCUAACUCCGUGCCAGCAGCCGCGGUAAUUC